GCCCCCGUAGCUCAGUGGAUAGAGCAUCCCCCUCCUAAGGGGAGGGUCACACGUUCGAUUCGUGUCGGGGGUACCA
rnacentral:tRNA from 1 species